AUUAUCGGUCGACCGAAAAAAAAAAAACACUUGCAACGUCCUCGGGUGCGGUUUAUGACAAUGCAAAUAGCACAAUACGAGUACGCGCAACGCGGACGAAUCAAACCGACCGAUGUUCUUCCCGCGGACGGCACAACGUGAUAUCGACAACGAUAUCAACGAAAAUACAGUUCAGCACUCGUUAUUAUACGGCGUACGAUAGCGAUCAGUGCGAACGCAGAUUAGAAAAGAAACCGAUCGCAAACGCGCGUGGAAAUGUGCAAAACGGCGGACCGUAAUCUGUUUCGAAUUUCCCGUUUACCGUGACAUGAUGCUCGCGUUUUCAAAAAAAAUUGAAAUUUACACGCUUGAUUUCUGUUACAGAAGAAACGCCGUGUGAACGUUUGUCCGUUUGUUGCGCGAUCGUUCCUCGGGGCUUUGCCGGUGAACACAAUAAUAUCCAGUGAUAAAGAAAACUCGCAGACUGUUGAGACAGAGGUGCUUCUACACAGCUACCGAUAUUGUGCUCGUAGACGUAGCCCGCGAGCGAAUCUGAAUCUUUGCGGUCCGUACACCAGGACGGUGAAAUCGGUUAUCGAUUAACCCGUGAAAUAUGAUUAUUGAUGCCAUGCGUUUUGCGACUAUACGGAUGAUAUUCGAAACAAAUCGCAAACACGGAUAUCAUAAUAUAAUACACUAUCAACGAGUACGUAUGUAUCGGGUGCCUCAUUCAUUAGUAUGGUAUGUAUUUGGUAUGGUACGGUUACAUUUCGGUUGUCAAUCUGACGAAAUGCAACAACUUUUAGACAUUCUGCGUGUUUUUUGUUUGUUUGUGUAAUAAAUAAUUGUUAUUAUUCUUUUGCUAUAUUAUUUUACACCAUAUGAUACCUUUCAAUCAAUCACAUCGUGACCGAAACGUGCCGAAGCACGAAGAAUCUUCACCGACUGUUCAAGUAGCACUCAGCGAAAUUAAUACGGAAGCGAUACGCCUAUUUUUAUAACAUAAAUUUAAGUAGAAAAGUAUAAAUAAUUAUUAACAGUGUAUUUUUUUUUUUUUCAGAACAUGCACAUCUUAUUAAAUGUAUGCUAAUAACCACCGCUGUUGAGGUCUUAACUGAUAAUAAUAAUAAUAAUAAAAAAAAAAAAAUGUAUACGAGUUUAUAUACCACAUAACGUUCAUGAGCCUCGAAUUAAAUUUCACGUCUUAUCACUAAAUUGUAAUCUAUAUUUUAAUAUAAUAUAUAUUUGUGAUGGCUGAUGCAACCUUCAUAAUUUUUAUGGUACUAUAUCCGUAAAGUCGACCGUUAAUAAUUUUAUUUUGUUUUGAACGUAUCGUUAUGUAUAUAAUAUAAUGUUAUAAAAUAUAUCUAGUUGUGUUACCAGUGAAUUUGUUUCCGAAUUUACUUGUGUGCAUUUUACGUGUUUAAUCUAGUGAUAGUCCAGUGAUAGUAUACUUAUACUCUGUACAUCUUAGUCCAAAUUAGUGGAGCCUCCAGUCACAAACCACUUUGACCUUCACCGGCGACAUACUAUUUCGGUCCAAUAUUUAAAUCGCCAAUCUUUCAGCCCCCUCAACUGGGACCAUUAACCAUAAACUACAUACCGUCCUCUCGUCAUUGUAAAUUAUUUCAACUAUUUAUCUAACAAUCUUUAAUAACAAUUAUCUCAAGAACCCAUUCAAGAAUUCCAUUUCGGGCCUAAAAUCAUCCGCUUAACCACUUCAAAGGUGUCACUGUAAUAUUUUUGUACAAAAUUGUCAAAUCUGAAUUAUCAUAAUGAGCAGUUGAACUUGACACUCCUUUUAAUAUUUUAAAAAUUUGGGAUGGGGUGGAUUUUAUCCGGUCCAAAGCUAUUAUGCGUAUGCAUCAUGUAUAGAUUCAUUUUCCGUAGGUCAAGUUAUAAUAAUAGUUGGUUAGUUUUCUUCAGGCUAGAGUAGUUAUUAGGGGUUAAAUUAUGGUGGUGGUUGGUCGCUGUAAGUUAAAGCCCCUGGAAAUCAUACAUUUUUGAACAAAUUGGAGUAGACUUUCGUCCUCUAUUUCUUUCCUUCUUUGGGGUGGAAUAUUUAAAAAUAUUUUCUUAUCGAAUGCCUACGUCAUUAUGGCUAUUUGUGUGCCAACAUUUAGCGCGAUCCGUCCAGUGUGCAGUGGUUUGAAGUGUGGAGGUGUGCGUUGAUAGAUUAGUCAGACACGUUUGCCUUUUAAGUAUAUUGAUAUCUAUGAUAAAACUAUACGGAAUAUGUUUGGCAAACCAAAUGUAGUAUCAGUUUUAAGUUGGAUAAAUAAUCGCCAUUUCAAUAUAACAUUAUUAUUAUUAUUAUUAUAUUUUUUUUUUUUUUUGGCAAACGUUAUAUUCAAUUUUUUUUUUAGUUCGUCAUAGAUAAGUGUGCAAAAAAAAAAAAAAAUAAAAAUAAAUUAAUAAAUAAAAAAUACCUGAAGUAUCGUAUUAAUUUGUUUCAUAGUCACAUAUAAAAUAUAAUAUUUUGUUUGUAUUUUUUUUCUAGCAAGAACGAUUCUCGGAACAGCCACCGUCGCCUUGCCGUAAGAGUCGUCUAAUUAAAAAUAAUUAGAAACUGCAGUAAUCAUUGUCCGUAAAUGAAAUAUAUAUAUAUUAUUAUAAUGUUCCUGGAACACAACAUAUUAUUAUAUUUUAUUUUCCUCCUAACGUAACAAUAAUAACUAUCAGGUGUAUGUUAUAUUUUUUUUACUAUUUAUAUUAUUUUUUUUCUAUCUUUUUUUAGCGCGUUCAAAAGUGAACACCGAGAACGGUGGCCUGGCGAGUGCGCUGCAGCUGUUUAGGGACUUCACAUUGCGUAUACGAGAUAGCUGUACGUGCAGACUCCUGCAUGAAUUGACGGCGGUGGUCCAUUCCAGCGGAGUUUUUUGAUGAGGUCCAUUUUAAUGGACCUCCACUUUCAAAAUAUGAACUUUUGAAAAUGCCAAUAAAAAUCGUUAAAACAUAAUAUUACCAUUUUGGAUUUCAGUGAAUUUAUACAUUUCAAGUGAUUUCAGCUAUAAACACGUUGUCUACGUUCUAUAAAUUCGGGCGGUCAAACGUGGCGAUUAGGGAAAUAAUUCCCCUCAUUUCUCCCUAUGACCUCAUUUACAUUCAAUUUCUAUAGAAAUAUAUGUAUCUAAAUAAUAAUAGUUAAAAAAUUAUCUUAAUGUUAAUAUUUAUUGACAUAAAUGUGAAAAUAACUUGUUAAUGAUUUCUAGUACUUGAAUACAGGUCAUUCAAAUUUCAAUGAUACAGUCAAAUUUGCCAUAAAAAGCUAACUAAUGUAUGUAAAAACGUCUUGUAUAUUUUAACAUAUUCCAUUGUAUUUAUUUUGGUCACUCUUAUUUUUAGGGACAAAACUAUACCUACUUUUGAUUUUCAAAUGUUUCAGAUGACCUAUGUUAAAAAUUCAAUAAAUAAAUGGAAUGUUAUUUUAAAUGUAUGUUUGUGUUGAAAUCAUUGAUUUCCGCCAACUCGUUGACGAGAUGUAACACUUUAAAGUUUGAGUAGGAGAGUGAAAAAAGUUUCAAAAAUCCACGUUUAUAAAAUAAAAAUAUAAGUUUUCUGUCAAAAUUUCGAAUCUCUACGAAUUUUUUUUUUACUGAUUUACAACAAAAACAAAAUUGACAAUUAUAAAAUCAUUAUUUUCGUGAACUUUGUCGUAUUUCUCCAUUUUUUCCGGUUUCGCUCAAUUAUUAAGUAAACUGCGUGGAAAAACAAAAUACUUCUGGCUCAUCAACUAGAUCCGAAUUCCAACAAAUAAGGUCCCUUGUCGUUUUUCAAUUGGAGGAAGUUUUCUGGUCGGAAAGCUGCUAACUGCAGACACAAACAAAUUUAAAAAGAAAACACACAUCAUAAUAAAGUCAACAAAUCCCUCAUCACGCUCAGAAUUUACAGUAUAUUUUGUAUUUUUUUAAGGAAAAACUUUUUUCAAAUAAAUUUUAAAAAUCGAUAUAUAUAUAUUUUUUUUUAUAAUGUAAUCAUUAUACUAUUAUUUUAUAAUAGAAUUUCACUAUACAUAUUUCAGCAAAUUUAUUCAAAACCUCUUAACUUGUUUUAUUAUAACAGAAAACUUUCUUUCAAUGCUUAACAUAUUUAGAUUAGUAAAUCUGGUUUGUUGCAUAAAGGAACCUCAAAUAUGAUGUGUUUAGACGGCGAUAUUCCCGUGUGCCACCUUCGUAUUAUAAAACAAUAGACAUUGCAUAUUUCCGUUCAGUAGGAGCUAUUCUUAUAUUAUACUACAUAGAGAUACGCAUCGUUCCCUCAGCAGGAUCCACCAAUCCACUCAAGCCCCAAGUAGCAUCAUAAUCCUCGAUACGCCUAUGAUCAUCGGUUAUUUUACUAAAAUUAAAAAAAGAAUGUUUUUAUAACGCAACUUCAUAUAACAUCACUAGACUGACUGGAAACAGUUAAUCGAGAAAAACAGAAAAAAAAAACCUGACAUACUAUGCAAUGAUGGGUGCAGCCAUUCUUGUGGACGGGAAGUUGGGAAGAUGUUAUUUUCAAUAUAAUUUAAUUAAAAUAAAUUGUAAUAGCACUGAUUGGCAAAUUGGCAAAUUGAACAAACUGGCUGUUUUAAAAAUUGUUAAAAAGUGAAAAAAUACUGUUAUUUUUUUUUUCAAUGAUUAAGACAUGAAAAUAAAUAUUUAAUUUUUCUCAACAUUUGUAUCCUCCUUAUACAAAGCUCGAUUGAAAAAAAAAAUAAACAUUGACAGAAUUAUUAGUGUUCAGAAAACACCGUAGGAUAUUCUGGAUAAUGUAAAUCAUACAUGUAUAUUACACGCACAUGUACUUCAAAUAAAUAAAAAAAUAUGUAAAAUAAAAUAAAACAACACCUGGAGUAUAUUAUGUAGGUUGUAUGUUUAUACCUACUUUUGAUUUCAAACCAUCAUUCCUUUGUGUUAUUUCACACCUUUUUAGAGGAUACUUUUUGAACCAAUAAGUAACUAGUGCGUAACAAGCAGCUCCGAAAUUAUCCGUUAUGCAGAACUAUAGAAAAAUAUUGUAAUCAAGAAUUAAUAAUCCAUACACUGUUUUCCAUAAAAAAAUAAUAAUAAUACGUG